UACAGAGGUCUCAAGCGUUUGUUCGGAUUCAUUCGGGGCGUAAAGGGUGCGUAGGUGGCGCUGUAAGUCGGGUGUGAAAUUUCGGAGCUUAACUCCGAAACUGCAUUCGAUACUGCGGUGCUUGAGGACUGGAGAGGAGACUGGAAUUCAUGGUGUAGCAGUGAAAUGCGUAGAGAUCAUGAGGAAGACCAGUGGCGAAGGCGGGUCUCUGGACAGUUCCUGACACUGAGGCACGAAGGCCAGGGGAGCAAAACGGGG
rnacentral:rRNA from 1 species